CCUACGGGAGGCAGCAGUGGGGAAUCUUGGACAAUGGGGGCAACCCUGAUCCAGCGACGCCGCGUGGGUGAUGAAGGCCUUCGGGUCGUAAAGCCCUUUUGCCGGGGAAGAUGAUGACGGUACCCGGAGAAGAAGCACCGGCUAACUCUGUGCCAGCAGCCGCGGUAAGACAGAGGGUGCUAGCGUUGUUCGGAAUUACUGGGCGUAAAGGGCGCGUAGGCGGCCAUGUAAGUCGGGUGUGAAAUCCCGGGGCUCAACCCCGGAACUGCAUUCGAUACUGUGUGGCUUGAGACCGGAAGAGGUGGGUGGAAUACCCAGUGUAGAGGUGAAAUUCGUAGAUAUUGGGUGGAACACCGGUGGCGAAGGCGGCUCACUGGUCCGGUUCUGACGCUGAGGCGCGAAAGCGUGGGGAGCAAACAGGAUUAGAUACCCUGGUAGUC
rnacentral:rRNA from 1 species